rnacentral:rRNA from 1 species
UACGUAGGGUGCGAGCGUUAAUCGGAAUUACUGGGCGUAAAGCGUGCGCAGGCGGUUCUCCAAGUCCGUUGUGAAAGCCCCGGGCUCAACCUGGGAAUGGCAGUGGAAACUAGGGGACUGGAAUCUGGCAGAGGGGGGUGGAAUGCCGCGUGUAGCAGUGAAAUGCGUAGAUAUGCGGAGGAACACCGAUGGCGAAGGCAAUCCCCUGGGCCUUACCUGACGCUGAGGAGCGAAAGCGUGGGGAGCAAACAGG